rnacentral:rRNA from 1 species
UGGCAGACGGGUGAGUAAUGCAUAGGAAUCUACCUAGUAGUAUGGGAUAGCCACUAGAAGUGGUGGGUAAUACUGUAUAAUCCCUGCGGGGGAAAGAUUUAUCGCUAUUAGAUGAGCCUAUGUUAGAUUAGCUAGUUGGUAGGGUAAAGGCCUACCAAGGCAGUGAUCUAUAGCUGGUCUGAGAGGAUGAUCAGCCACACUGGAACUGAGAUACGGUCCAGACUCCUACGGGAGGCAGCAGUGGGGAAUAUUGGACAAUGGGCGAAAGCCUGAUCCAGCUAUGCCGCGUGAGUGAGGAAGGCCUUAGGGUUGUAAAACUCUUUCAGUGGGAAAGAUAAUGACGGUACCCACAGAAGAAGUCCCGGCAAACUCCGUGCCAGCAGCCGCGGUAAUACGGAGGGGGCAAGCGUUGUUCGGAAUUAUUGGGCGUAAAGGGCAUGUAGGCGGUUUGGUGAGUUAAAGGUGAAAUGCCAGG